CAAUAGCGUAUAUUAAAGUUGUUGCGGUUAAAAAGCUCGUAGUUGGAUUUCUGCCGAGGACGACCGGUCCGCCCUCUGGGUGAGUAUCUGGCUUGGCCUUGGCAUCUUCUUGGAGAACGUAGCUGCACUUGACUGUGUGGUGCGGUAUCCAGGACUUUUACUUUGAGGAAAUUAGAGUGUUUCAAGCAGGCAUACGCCUUGAAUACAUUAGCAUGGAAUAAUAAGAUAGGACCUCGGUUCUAUUUUGUUGGUUCUAGAGCUGAGGUAAUGAUUAAUAGGGAUAGUUGGGGGCAUUCGUAUUUAACUGUCAGGGUAAUGUCUAAUGUAGUUUGUUAAAAGACGGACUACUGCGAAAGCAUUUGCCAAGGAUGUUUUCAUUGAUCAAGAACGAAAGUUAGGGGAUCGAAGACGAUCAGAU
rnacentral:rRNA from 1 species